rnacentral:rRNA from 1 species
GAUGAACGCUGGCGGCGUGCCUAAUACAUGCAAGUCGAGCGAACGGACGAGAAGCUUGCUUCUCUGAUGUUAGCGGCGGACGGGUGAGUAACACGUGGAUAACCUACCUAUAAGACUGGGAUAACUUCGGGAAACCGGAGCUAAUACCGGAUGAUAUUUUGAACCGCAUGGUUCAAAAGUGAAAGACGGUCUUGCUGUCACUUAUAGAUGGAUCCGCGCUGCAUUAGCUAGUUGGUAAGGUAACGGCUUACUAAGGCAACGAUGCAUAGCCGACCUGAGAGGGUGAUCGGCCACACUGGAACUGAGACACGGUCCAGACUCCUACGGGAGGCAGCAGUAGGGAAUCUUCCGCAAUGGGCGAAAGCCUGACGGAGCAACGCCGCGGGAGUGAUGAAGGUCUGCGGAUCGUAAAACUCUGUUAUUAGGGAAGAACAUAUGUGUAAGUAACUGUGCACAUCUUGACGGUACCUAAUCAGAAAGCCACGGCUAACUACGUG